GAAUUGAUCUGGUUCAGAACGAACGCUGGUGGCGUGUCUAUACAUGCAAGCGAGCGAGGCAGCAAUGCCGAGCGGCGAACGGGUGAGUAACGCGUAAGCAAUCUGCCCCAUAUCAGGAAAUACCCGUGCCAACGCGCGGUUAAUGUCCAGGAGAGUGGCCAGCUGCAUGGCUGGUUGACUAGAGAUUUAUCGGUAUGGGAUGAGCUUGCGUCCGAUUAGCUAGUUGGCGGGGCAACGGCCCACCAAGGCGACGAUCGGUAGCCGGCCUGAGAGGGUGAUCGGCCACAUUGGGACUGAGAUACGGCCCAGACUCCUACGGGAGGCAGCAGUAGGGAAUAUUGCACAAUGGGGGAAACCCUGAUGCAGCAACGCCACGUGUGGGAAGAAGCAUUUCGGUGUGUAAACCACUGUCAUGAGGGAAUAAGGCCCGCCUUCCGGACGGUACCUUGAAUGUACCUUGAGAGGAAGCACCGGCAAACUUCGUGCCAGCCGCAGC
rnacentral:rRNA from 1 species